rnacentral:tRNA from 1 species
GCGCCAGUAGCUCAGUUGGCAGAGCAGCUGACUCUUAAUCAGCGGGUCCGGGGUUCGAAUCCCUGCUGGUGUACCA